UACGGAGGGGGCUAGCGUUGUUCGGAAUUACUGGGCGUAAAGCGCGCGUAGGCGGCUUUGUAAGUUAGAGGUGAAAGCCCGGAGCUCAACUCCGGAAUUGCCUUUAAGACUGCAUCGCUAGAAUCAUGGAGAGGUGAGUGGAAUUCCGAGUGUAGAGGUGAAAUUCGUAGAUAUUCGGAAGAACACCAGUGGCGAAGGCGACUAACUGGACAUGUAUUGACGCUGAGGUGCGAAAGCGUGGGGAGCAAACAGG
rnacentral:rRNA from 1 species